AAGAAUUUAGUUUAAAUUUUAAAAAAAUAUUUUAUUUACAAUAAAAAGAUUUUAUUAAAUUAUUUUUAAAAGUUUUUA
rnacentral:tRNA from 1 species